UUAUUAUGAAGUGCGCCGGAAGUGGGCGCUGUCUGCAGUGAGCAGGAAGCGCGCGUGUGUGUGAGGGAGAUGAUGGAAGCCACACGUAACUCUCUGCCGUCUCUGCCCAAACACUCGUACUGGUUUGAUUUCUGGCUCUUUCUGCUGUUUGAUAUCUUCUUGUUUUUGAUCAUUUACUUGAUCAUCCCGUGAGCGAUCUCAGAGUCUCAGAAUGAAAGCUGGAGAUGCAGGAGGGGAAUGGCAUCAUCUGGAUCUUCAACACAGUCCUGCUUGACUGAUGACACUGAAUACUGCUUACUAAA